AUGGAAAAGAAAUGCAAAAAAGCAAAAUGGCUGUCUGGGGAGGCCUUACAAAUAGCUGUGAAAAGAAGAGAAGUGAAAAGCCAAGGAGAAAAGGAAAGAUAUAAGCAUCUGAAUGCAGAGUUCCAAAGAAUAGCAAGAAGAGAUAAGAAAGCCUUCUUCAGUGAUCAAUACAAAGAAAUAGAGGAAAACAACAGAAUGGGAAAGACUAGAGAUCUCUUCAAGAAAAUUAGAGAUAUCAAGGGAACAUUUCAUGCAAAGAUGGGCUCGAUAAAGGACAGAAAUGGUAUGGCCCUAACAGAAGCAGAAGAGAUUAAGAAGAGGUGGCAAGAAUACACAGAACUGUACAAAAAGGAUCUUCACGGCCUGGAUAAUCAUGAUGGUGUGAUCACUCAUCUAGAGCCAGACAUCCUGGAAUGUGAAGUCAAGUGGGCCUUAGAAAGCAUCACUACAAACAAAGCUAGUGGAGGUGAUGAAAUUCCAGUGGAGCUAUUUCAAAUCCUGAAAGAUGAUGCUAUGAAAGUGCUGCACUCAAUAUGCCAGCAAAUUUGGAAAACUCAGCAGUGGCCACAGGACUGGAAAAAGUCAGUUUUCGUUCCAAUCCCAAAGAAAGGCAAUGCCAAGGAAUGCUCAAACUACUGCACAGUUGCAGCCAUCUCACACGCUAGUAAAGUAAUGCUCAAAAUUCUCCAAGCCAGGCUUCAGCAAUACGUGAACCAUGAACUUCCAGAUGUUCAAGCUGGUUUUCGAAAAGGCAGAGGAACCAGAGAUCAAACUGCCAACAUCCACUGGAUCAUGGAAAAAGCAAGAGAGUUCCAGAAAAACAUCUAUUUCUGCUUCACUGACUAUGCCAAAGCCUUUGACUGUGUGGAUCACAAUAAACUGUGGAAAAUUCUGAAAGAGAUGGGAAUACCAGACCACCUAACCUGCCUCUUGAGAAAUCUGUAUGCACGCCAGGAAGCAACAGUUAGAACUGGACAUGAAACAACAGACUGGUUCCAAAUAGGAAAAGGAGUACGUCAAGGCUGUAUAUUGUCACCCUGCUUAUUUAACUUCUAUGCAGAGUACAUCAUGAGAAAUGCUGGACUGGAAGAAGCACAAGCUGGAAUUAAGAUUGCCGGGAGAAAUAUCAGUAACCUCAGAUAUGCAGAUGACACCACCCUUAUGGCAGAAAGUGAAGAGGAACUAAAAAGCCUCUUGAUGAAAGUGAAAGAGGAGAGUGAAAAAGUUGGCUUAAAGCUCAACAUUCGGAAAACGAAGAUCAUGGCAUCCGGUCCUAUCACUCCAUGGGAAAUAGAUGGGGAAACAGUGGAAACAAUGUCAGACUUUAUUUUUGGGGGCUCCAAAAUCACUGCAGAUGGUGAUUGCAGCCAUGAAAUUAAAAGACGCUUACUCCUUGGAAGAAAAGUUAUGACCAACCUAGAUAGCAUAUUAGGUCCAUCUGGUCAAGGCUAUGGUUUUUCCAGUGGUCAUGUAUGGAUAUGA
rnacentral:lncRNA from 1 species